rnacentral:tRNA from 2 species
UGCAGCGUAGAGCAGCGGUAGCUCGGGACGCUCAUAACGUCACAGGUCGCUGGUUCGAAUCCAGCCGCUGCAACCA